rnacentral:rRNA from 1 species
AGUUUGAUCCUGGCUCAGGAUGAACGCUAGCGACAGGCCUAACACAUGCAAGUCGAGGGGUAACAUGGAAGUAGCAAUACAACUGAUGACGACCGGCGCACGGGUGAGUAACGCGUAUGCAACCUACCUACUACAGGGGGAUAGCCCGGAGAAAUCCGGAUUAAUACCGCAUAACACAGGGAUUCCGCAUGGAAAUAUUUGUUAAAGAAAUUCGGUAGUAGAUGGGCAUGCGUUCCAUUAGCCAGUUGGUGAGGUAACGGCUCACCAAAGCAACGAUGGAUAGGGGAACUGAGAGGUUUAUCCCCCACACUGGUACUGAGACACGGACCAGACUCCUACGGGAGGCAGCAGUGAGGAAUAUUGGUCAAUGGACGAGAGUCUGAACCAGCCAAGUCGCGUGAAGGAUGACUGCCCUACGGGUUGUAAACUUCUUUUGUGCUAGAGUAAAAAAGAGUAUGUAUACUCUCUUGCAAGUAUAGUACGAAUAAGCAUCGGCUAACUCCGUGCCAGCAGCCGCGGUAAUACGGAGGAUGCGAGCGUUAUCCGGAUUUAUUGGGUUUAAAGGGUGCGUAGGCGGGACCUUAAGUCAGCGGUGAAAGUUUGAGGCUCAACCUUAAAAUUGCCGUUGAAACUGGGAUCCUUGAGUGUAUUUGAAGUAGGCGGAAUUCGUAGUGUAGCGGUGAAAUGCAUAGAUAUUACGAAGAACUCCAAUUGCGCAGGCAGCUUACUAAACUACAACUGACGCUGAAGCACGAAAGCGUGGGUAUCAAACAGGAUUAGAUACCCUGGUAGUCCACGCAGUAAACGAUGAUUACUAGCUGUUUGUGAUAUUACAAUAAGUGGCUAAGCGAAAGCGAUAAGUAAUCCACCUGGGGAGUACGCCGGCAACGGUGAAACUCAAAGGAAUUGACGG